AGGGUUAUAUUUAAUUAUAAUAUUUGAAUUGCAAUCAAAAGGUAUCUUAACCUAAGAUUAACCUUU
rnacentral:tRNA from 1 species